rnacentral:rRNA from 1 species
AACGAACGCUGGCGGCAGGCUUAACACAUGCAAGUCGAGCGCCCCGCAAGGGGAGCGGCAGACGGGUGAGUAACGCGUGGGAAUCUACCCAUCCCUACGGAAUAGCUCCGGGAAACUGGAAUUAAUACCGUAUACGCCCUACGGGGGAAAGAUUUAUCGGGGAUGGAUGAGCCCGCGUUGGAUUAGCUAGUUGGUGGGGUAAAGGCCUACCAAGGCGACGAUCCAUAGCUGGUCUGAGAGGAUGAUCAGCCACAUUGGGACUGAGACACGGCCCAAACUCCUACGGGAGGCAGCAGUGGGGAAUAUUGGACAAUGGGCGCAAGCCUGAUCCAGCCAUGCCGCGUGAGUGAUGAAGGUCUUAGGAUUGUAGAGCUCUUUCACCGGUGAAGAUAAUGACGGUAACCGGAGAAGAAGCCCCGGCUAACUUCGUGCCAGCCGCCGCCGUAACAC